rnacentral:piRNA from 1 species
UAAAACUCAGGUACUAUUUUACCAAGGUC